rnacentral:lncRNA from 1 species
UCUUAUUUUGUUUCCUCAAUUUCGCAUGGUCGCACCUCCAGUUCGUCUAUGAUGUAUGAGCUACAGAGAUGAAUGCCCUAGAUUUGUGUCCUGCUAAUUGGUACAAAUGUUUUGCCAAAGUGAUUAAACAGUUAGAAUACAGCUGCAUUGUAAUGAAAAACACACUAAUUUGAUAUGCAGUUUAUGUUUUUUGCAUUACACAACCUUAAGAUUUUAAUUCAGACGUAAAAGUCAGUUUCAAUUACAGGAAGUAUCACACAAGGACGUGCAUCAUUGUCCACGACACCAUACAUCUGAAAAUAAGCAAUAGGUCAGUAAAAGAAUACAGGGCUGCAGUCUAGUCAAUUAUAGACAAAACAAGGAGCAAAUCUAAUUUUAACACUGUUGGUACAGGGAGAGAGAGAAAGAGAUGUUUCCUAUGGAUCAAGAGCUGCUUAGAGCUCGCUCUCGGAAAGGGCAAUUUCCUUCCCAUGGUACUCACAAAGCCUACUGCCUUUUUUAAGAAAAAGAAGCAAGCACGAUGCAUAGAUCAGAUUAUCAAGGGAACAAUGAUCCCUUUGUCAAUAUAUGCUUCCAAUGGAUAGAUGGAUACGAUACUACUAAUCAAAAAGAGAAUGAGAGAGCACAUUAGUUUGAUAUGACAAAACCAGUCCUGGAUAUGGUCAUGGAACUAUGUUUUGACUAUAGCAGGGAAAGUAGUAGCCACUCCUCUUUGUACGGGACAUAGAGUUUCAGUAUUUUUUACAAAAAAAUAUCAUGGACACUAAAGCAAGUAUUGAAGAUGCUUUUCUGAAAUUCAUCUACAUAAAUUUCAGACCUGUAGAUGGGAGUUAAUUUUAGUGAUCUGAAUUAAACUGUCCUUUGUAAAUUUCACUCUGUAAUUCCAGUUUGAUGGCAUUCUUCAGUGAAGCUUUGGCAGCAGGUAACCCAGGUUCAAGAAACAAAGGUUCAAAAUCAACGUUUAUGAACACACACUAUCUUGUCUUGUGAUGAACCAAAAUCAAUGUUUAUUGUAAUGUAAAAGGGUAGAACUGUUGAAUUGAUGCAUGCGUGGUUCAACUGUGGUCGUCUUUGCUUUUGGCAGGUUGAGGCCUGGGAGCUACUCUAGAUGCUGUCGAGUUGCGAGCAUAUUUUGGGUAAGCAGCAGUGGAAUAGCAGAUUCAGCAGAAUAGUUCAAGGACCACACAUUUGAGUUCAUGAAACAUAUACCAUUUCAGUGGGCGGAAGAAUGACAAUUUAAGGUGUUUUUCCAGCACUACAUGACAUUCGUGGUUAUUACCUUUGAGUAGCACGCACCUGCUCCUGCAGUUCUUAACAUGGCUCUGAAUUUUUUAGAUUGAGUCUUGCUGGUGUAUCCAAGAACAAAAUCAGUGGUAUGUGACUCUACCGUGUACUUAAAU